rnacentral:rRNA from 1 species
AACGAACGCUGGCGGCAUGCCUAACACAUGCAAGUCGAACGCGUGUAGCAAUACACGAGUGGCGGACGGGUGAGUAACGCGUGGGAACCUGCCCAGUGGUAGGGAAUAACUGCGGGAAACUGCAGCUAAUACCCUAUGCACCCUACGGGGGAAAGAUUCAUCGCCAUUGGAGGGGCCCGCGUCGGAUUAGCUAGUUGGUGGGGUAACGGCCCACCAAGGCGACGAUCCGUAGCUGGUCUGAGAGGAUGAUCAGCCACACUGGGACUGAGAUACGGCCCAGACUCCUACGGGAGGCAGCAGUGGGGAAUAUUGGACAAUGGGGGAAACCCUGAUCCAGCAAUGCCGCGUGAGUGAGGAAGGCCUUAGGGUUGUAAAGCUCUUUCGGCGGGGACGAUGAUGACGGUACCCGCAGAAGAAGCCCCGGCUAACUUCGUGCCAGCAGCCGCGGUAA